CUUGGUCAUUUAGAGGAAGUAAAAGUCGUAACAAGGUCUCCGUAGGUGAACCUGCGGAGGGAUCAUUACAGAGUUCUCGCCCCUCGCGGGUAGAUCUCCCACCCACUGUUAUCGCUACCGUCGUUUCUUUGGCGGGCCGCUGGGCCCUGCCCGGCCGCCGGCUCCGGCUGGCGCGCGCCCGCCAGAGACCCCCCAAACUCUGAAUGUUAGUGUCGUCUGAGUACUAUACAAUAGUUAAAACUUUCAACAACGGAUCUCUUGGUUCUGGCAACGAUGAAGAACGCAGCGAAAUGCGAUAAGUAAUGUGAAUUGCAGAAUUCAGUGAAUCAUCGAAUCUUUGAACGCACAUUGCGCCCCCUGGUAUUCCGGGGGGCACACCUGUUCGAGCGCCAUUUUCACCAUCGAGCCCUGCUCGGCGAUGGGCCUCGUCCUCGCGGACGGGCUCGAAACCCGUGGGCGCCGUCGUCCGGCCCUGAGCGUAGCAAGAGAAAUCCCUCGCUCGGUGUGUCGUCCGGUGGCCGCCCCGACAACCAUUUACAAGGUUGGCCUCGGAUCAGGUGGGGAUACCCGCUGAACUUAAGCAUAUCAAUAAGCGGAGGA
rnacentral:rRNA from 1 species